CGAGAACGAUGAUGGCAUACCCAAUUCCGUGGUGGUAUACGUUCCAGUAGACCCGGUACUUGUGAUCCUUUUUCGGCCUCAGGAAAAAGGCGAACAUCUGCCCUCCGAACGUCAUGGAGAAAAUUUGUUCCCACAUUAUCAUUUGACAUAGCACACAAUAACCUCUAACUGGUAUUAAUGACUGUAUGAAGAGCAAAAUUCGAAGUGGUACCUGCAGUGUUGCGAUACAGAAAAGUACUAUCCCGAUUAUACGGUGUGACGUGUACUCGAUGCCUUUAGACUUGGCCCCGAGAUCGAGGCCUAUUGCCCAGCCGGUCACCCCG
rnacentral:lncRNA from 1 species